rnacentral:lncRNA from 1 species
UUUUUAGUCAAUUUAAUUCAUAUGACUUGCAUGUGAUACAAAUUUAAUAAUCAGAACCAUUCAUUUUCAUAAUCAUCAUUUAAAGAUGUUCAUUGCAAAAUUUCACUUCAAAUCAUAGAUAUUAGCCAUCUGAUAUCAUGGAUAUUUUACUUGGUACCAACAUCGUCAAUUUGUUCAAUACAUAUGGAUAACUAAAAGAUCUUCAAUUUUAUUGAUAGUUGAUAGCAAACAAAUUGAUCCAAUCCCUUCGAAUUUUAGUCAUACUACUAGCAAUAUUGCCCGCGCGAUGCUGCGGGCGUGAAAUUCAACAUGUUCAAAUGCAUUCUAAGCAGUAUCAAUUUGAAUGCAAUUAAUCAAAGCACAGGUUGCAGCAUACCUUCUAAUUUGUCCAAGGUGGAAUUAUUUUGUGAUAGGGUAUUGGAAAAACAAAGUUUAAACCUAUUAUAGAACAAUAUUUCAAUCAAACAGAUAUGGGAUCACAUUCACCAUAAACUAUUACAAUAUUCCAUAGUUCAUUACAUUAGCAUUUCUAGCCAUUAGAACCUCAAAGACAUAACUAAUCAGUGUUAUAGAAACUUACCACGAAAUUAACAAAAGAGAAUAAAAGACCGUAAGCUUCAUUCGGUUUCAUAGCAUAUCUAAUAAAGUUAAAAUGUUUUUGUUUCGAAUGAUCUGAUACCUGAGAAUAGAGAAACAUGUAUGAUAAUAGAGAAAGGCCAAAAAUAAGAAGCACCCAUUCACUAAACCACCCCUUCAAAUCAACACACAGUCAGCAUGCAGAGAAAGAUCGCUUUGGACAUAAAGCUUAACAUUUUACCUGCAAGCCCGCUGUUUGAGAUAAACAACACCAAAUCAUUGUAUCCCCUUAGAAACUUAACAGGAUGCUCCACCUUGACCCAAUGACCGAAGACACUGCUGUAAAAAAAAAUAGGUUAUAGAGAAGACAAUAACACGUAUAUUAGAGAAAACAAUAGAAUAGGUUAUAGAGAAUAUGUUGGAAAAUAGGUACUGGUUGUAUACUGAAAUCAAUCAUUAGAACCCCUCUGGCUCUAAAACAUUGAAGAAGAAAUAUCUGAAGAAGAAAUAUCUGCACUAGUUUGGAAGCCUGAAACUCCACGCAGAAAGUAGAUUAACGUGGGUCAACUACAUCUUCAUGGUCAGUCUAAUUUCUAGUAUUACGGGUAUUAGAUUAUUGAAGUGCAAUAUACACCAAUAACCAUGUAUUAGUAACAUAGGAAAAAUAUGGAAAUAAUUUCAGGAAUACACAAUACAGGGGCGUUACAAAGCCUAAAAAAAGUUCGUAACUUCGAAUUAUCUUAUCAUACAAUUUGGUGGAGCAAAAACAAAAACUACCAACAUCAAUAUGCAGUGUUUGUCAUAAAACGACAAUUUCAUAUCCAUUACCAUUAUCCUCUAAUGCUCUGAGCAAUCUUAACGUUGGCCUGCAAAUUAUCCGGCCCUUCACCUGUGGAGGUAUUAUAUGCUUAUUUUGUCAACCAAAUGGAGAUCAUUAAACCUGAGUAAAUUUCCACUUAAUUAAGUUCUAAACACUAUAGUAAAAUCUAAAGUUAAAAAGAGCAGUUCAAUUUGACUAAAAAUACAUAAAGGAAGAGAGAAAGAACAAAGAGUUGUAGAAAGCUGUAAAAUGAUACUAAACCUGCAAGUUGAAUCAGAAAAAUAUUCAAACAAAUCUAAAAGCCAAAUUAUUCACAGGAUCAGUCUCAAAUUAAUAAAGAACUUGGGAAAUGCUAAGGAUGUCCAGCAGUUUACAUCUUCUCUAAAAAUACUACAGAUGGGUUCCUCCACUGACACUAUAAAAACAAGAGGUAUUCAUCAAUUCCCCCCCUGAACUUGUGACCAUUGGCCAAUUUCCCCAUUCAACUCUCAUAAUUAGUCAAUUUCCCCCCUCAACUCUCAUAAUUAGUCAAUUUCCCCCCUCAACUUUAAUUUGGCCAAUUUCCCCCCUCAACUCUCAUAAUUAGUCAAUUUGCACCCUACUGUUAAUUUUUUUUAAUUUUCCAUCUAUUCUUUUUUUCUUUCUUUCAAUCUUUCUAAUAACUUCCAACAAAGUACUAAAAUUAACAUAAACUCACCUGCAUAAUAUAAGGUAAAAUGUACAAAAACAUAAUACAAUUAGUAUGUGAUAUGGGUUGAUUAUAAGAAAAAGUUAUGAAUCAGGUUUAAAGCAUGUAGAAGAAGAAAUAAUAAUCCUAAACUCAUGGAUCAGACCUAUUUCAAUAAAAUGGGUUAUUCUUACUAAGGAGUCGAAAAUUAUGAAUUGACUAGCCAUUUUUGCACUAAAGCUCGAUUCUCCGCAAUUUACUUGAACUUAGCUUUCACUUUUAUAAAGAAAAUUGUAUUCACAUACAAAAAUGUACACAUCAAUCCUUUUCGUUAUCAAUAAUACUAUCUAUGAUAAAUUGUAAAAUUCUAAAUUGUUAAAAAAUUAACAGUAGGGUGCAAAUUGACUAAUUAUGAGAGUUGAGGGGGGAAAUUGGCCAAAUUAAAGUUGAGGGGGGGAAUUGACUAAUUAUGAGAGUUGAGGGGGGAAAUUGGCCAAAAUUAAAGUUGAGGGGGGAAAUUGGCCAAUAGUCACAAGUUCAGGGGGGAAAUUGAUGAAUACCUCUAAAAACAAAUUUAAAAUUACAAUUAAACUUAAUAUUUUCUCUUUUCCUCUCCCUCUUCGUGUUCCCUCUGUCCGAUGAAAACCAGAAGCGCAAAGCUUCCUAAAAUUCUAGCCAUUUUACUCAUCACUUCCCAAAAACUACAUAUACGUUUUAAUCCGACAACUAUGAAUACAUAUUCAAACUGGGAAAAAGUAGGACAGAAAACAUACCCAAAAAGUAACCGUGGCGUUCUAGCUUCUGCCAAAUCUCAGAUUUAUCAACUGAGGAGGCAAAACGCUAAAUCCCUUUUUAGCUGGGAAAGCCCUGACAAAGCACCACAACUCACCGCAAAACCAAAAUUAACAAAAAUCCAAAAUUAAAACUCAAAUACAGUACCUGAGUUGAAUAGAACUCAUUUCACUAUGAUCUGAAGACAGGCCGCGCCCAAACUGGGCUGGAAAUUCGUCGGAAAUUCGGCAACAACUUCGGAAUCCAAGACGGCAAAAGAGACAAAAUCUGUGAAGUCUUGGCCCGGCGAUUGCAAGUUUAGGAACCCUAGAAACCAAUUUUAUGUGUUUCGACAAAACGCCCACAACUGUAGGAUUGCAGGGAUGCAUAACUCCCCUCAAAUGCAGAGACGCAAAGAAAAUCCCUUAAAACACGAAAUUCAGGAACUUUCUCCUGAAUAUUUUGUGAAAUAAAGAACGGAAUAUUUGAGAGGAAUGGAGGAUUUGAGAAAAUCCCUUAAAACAUGUUUUUAACUACUA